UUCCAAAAAUAAAAUUCUUUUGUUUUUAAGUUCCUUAUUAUAACUUUGAUAUAACUCUUUAAUUUAUUGUCCAUAUUUUAAACUUUUCAUUGUUAGCUUGUCAUUUACCUUGAGCGGAACUAUACGAACUUGAAUUUAUUUGGACCGUGCAUCAACAUUUAGCAGAAUCUUUGUGUUCCUAUUUUCUAAAAUACAUGCCUUAUUUAGGGAUUUUUUGAUAUCUUUUCAAAAUCAAGUACUUGACUGGGCAUCAACAUUUUGCCUCAUUUAGGAAUGUUUUGAUAUUUUUCCAGAUUACUAAACAAACACCACCAAAAUAAUACAAUGGGAAAACAUUAGGUGCUCUCGCAGUCAUGUUCUUCCACCAAGGAAGGGAAGCAUGUGCAAUGAAAAAUGAACCCACUUGUCUUCUCUUUAUGAUGUGUCAAUGGCAAUAAGAACACUUGGAAAUUAAUGCAUUGGGCCAGUGGAAUUGCUUUGUAUGCCAUUGAAAUCCUUAAAAAGGGAAAUAUUAGCUUUUCUGGGCAUCUGUAUUCAUUCUAAGCUUUGCCUCCCCAAGUCUCCCUUUUUUCUGCAAAAGAAAUGAGGAACAAAAAAUCAGUCCUUCAAAUGGAGAACGUGAAUACUCCUA